rnacentral:rRNA from 1 species
UACAGAGGCCACAAGCGUUAGUCGGAAUCACUGGGCUUAAAGGGUGCGUAGGUGGGCUUGCAAGCGUUUUGUGAAAGCCCGUAGCUCAACUACGGAACAGCAGAGCGAACUGCAAGUCUUGAGGCAGGUAAGGGCCGGAAGAACAAACGGUGGAGCGGUGAAAUGCGUAGAUAUCGUUUGGAAUGCCGAUGGGGAAGCCGUCCGGCUGGGCCUGUCCUGACACUGAGGCACGAAAGCGUGGGGAGCAAACAGG